ensembl:lncRNA
GAAAGGAGGAGAACCUUCAGUCCCAAGACAGUCUCAACCCCAGAGAAGGCAGAUUGUAGGGUAAAUUGUUAAAGGAGUUGCUUCCAGGGAGUUGCUGUAGGGUAUUUUGGCAGUCAGUUUGACAGAUCAGUCUGCUAACCAGAAAAUGCUUCAAAGUCAGACAGAAAUCACAGACAGCAAAAUAUAUCUUAGAAAAGCAUUCAGCUUCUCUGAAUCUACCUUUUAAUGUAAUGGUUAAUUUCUCAUGUCUUUCACUGUAAUGGCAUUCUUGCUUCUUUUUCUUUUUUUUUUUUUUUUUUAAAUAUAUAUAUUUUUAAAUACGUAGACAGUGCCUGAGAAUGUCAUCCUAUUUUUAUGAGAGAGAAUCCUAGGUACGGGUACUGGGCCUACUGACAGCUCCCAGGGCCAACUACAAGAUGAGUGAGAGGCCAAUAAGCACUGCUUCACCAGGUCAGGUGGCUGCCCAGGGGCCUCAUAGCACAUGGGACAAGGGCUGGCUACAAGCUACUCUUCACUGGCCAGUCCUCACUCUUCCACCAAUCUUUCUGGGCCGUGCCUCACUCACAAAGUCUCCCCAAAAUGUGAAGAAGCUCCAGCAAAACAAAACAUGGCGGAAGGCUGAAAAUCAAGAUACUUUGGACAAAGGCCAGAGCAUUUCAACUGAGAACUAGCCAAUGCUUCAUCACCGUGGUUAGCAGAUGUGACUGGAUGCACACAGGGAGUGAAUUUGUUCAGCAAAACCUGACGGUUCCUCACAGUCCCGCUUCAAGCAGAAGAUAAGCUCUUUGAAAACAUGGGGCUGGAUGAAAAGGAAAUCAUUGAUUGUUUGCAGAGGGAAGCCACCCGUCUGCCUGCAUAGUGAAGCAGGUACUAAGGCUCUCUUGCACAUUUCUUGCUCUGUAUCCAGACCACUGCACAGUCUGUCAGUGUCACUGCAGGAGGCAACAGUCAGACCUGUGGGGAAAUGGACAUGCAAAGAGCUGUCACUUCAGAUCUUGCCUUUGGUACACUGCACCCUGGUCUGAUGAAGGAAUACCUCUGCUGAAGGCCCAAGCCUCUGCAUGAAGUAACGAGGCACUCUCCACUUAAUGUGUCCUUCAAGAGAGGAACCAGAGGCGUUUUUAAAAUCCAGGAGGCGCUUAAAAUCAUGACCAUUCAGUAUCUUGCUCUCCUCCUUGUGCAGAGUGAAAUGAAGACUGGUCUAUUUGUUGCCACCUCAGCCCCAGGCUUUUAAACCUGUGUGCAUGCAGCUCACUGCAAUUAGCACUCUCCGCUUGCUCUGUCAGCAGGGAGAGCAGCCUAUACUGCGUGCACAGUGCUCUCAGAAAGCCCCAUGAGCACACGGCCUGUGUGAUGGAAACCCAGCUCAAGGCCAAGGAGCACAUAGCAGCCUCCUUGCUGCUGGGCCACAGAGGAACAUCGCAAGGCAGUCAUUCCCAGAGAAGCAAAGCUCUGUGAUGGCUGUUUAGCAUUGUCACAGAACAAAGCACUUUUGGGGACCCCAGGCCCGAGCCGGGCUCAUCGCUGCAAAACUGGAUUCCCCCUCAUCCCACCAUCUGUUCAUAGAACGGCUUGGGUUGGAAAGGACCCCCAGAGACCAUCAAGUUCCAACCCUCUGGCCUCAGGGAGGGCCACCAACCUCGCAGCUAGGACUGCUAUAUUGCAGCGUAC